CUGGGCUGGGCCGGGCCGGGCCGGGCUGGGCGGGCCCGCCCCCGGGCUAUUUAGUGCUCGGCACGGCCAGGCGCGCUCCGCCACCGGCGGGGCUGCACGGCACGGCUCGGCUCGGGACGGCUCAGCUCGGGACGGGACGGGACGGGACGGGAGCGGGCUGCCAGCGCCCUCGAGCGGCACUGGGGCCGAGGAGGGACAGCCCAGCCCUCGGGCAGAGCCGAGCUCUUCCGCCGGGUGCCGGGCAGGGCUGCUGCCGGCUCCGCGCCGGCCGGGCGGGACGGGGCGCGCACCCCUCGCCCUGCGCAGCCGAGGAACGCGGACGCCGGCUCCGAGGGCUGGCAGAAGAGCGGCAGCAGCGGGAGCGGCCGCGGCCGACACUAGACACUAACUCUGGUAAAAGGGGAACUCUACGAUUUUCCUUGAAAAAGAACAACAUUGGAUUCUUCACUGGGUACACUAAGAGUGAGAGAAAAGAGGACAUCUUGAAGGAUCUGAUCCUGAGAAGUCCUCCCUUCUUGAAGUUAAGUGACUUCCUCUGUAAAACAGGUCUGCUUGCUAUCUUUAGAAUAUCUCUAUCCAAGCUAGAGGAAUAA
rnacentral:lncRNA from 1 species